UACAGAGGGUGCAAGCGUUAAUCGGAAUUACUGGGCGUAAAGCGCGCGUAGGUGGUUUGUUAAGUUGAAUGUGAAAGCCCCGGGCUCAACCUGGGAACUGCAUCCAAAACUGGCAAGCUAGAGUACGGUAGAGGGUGGUGGAAUUUCCUGUGUAGCGGUGAAAUGCGUAGAUAUAGGAAGGAACACCAGUGGCGAAGGCGAGUCCCUGGACAACUUCUGACGCUGAGGCACGAAAGCUAGGGGAGCAAACAGG
rnacentral:rRNA from 1 species